CAUAUCAAUAAGCGGGAGGAAAAAGAAACUUAACAAGGAUUCCCCUAGUAACUGCGAGUGAAGCGGGAAAAGCUCAAAUUUAAAAUCUGUCAGUCUUUGGCUGUCCGAGUUGUAAUCUAGAGAAGUGUUAUCCGCGCUGGACCGUGUACAAGUCUCCUGGAAUGGAGCGUCAUAGAGGGUGAGAAUCCCGUCUCUGACACGGACUACCAGGGCUUUGUGAUGCGCUCUCAAAGAGUCGAGUUGUUUGGGAAUGCAGCUCAAAAUGGGUGGUAAAUUCCAUCUAAAGCUAAAUAUUGGCGAGAGACCGAUAGCGAACAAGUACCGUGAGGGAAAGAUGAAAAGAACUUUGGAAAGAGAGUUAAACAGUACGUGAAAUUGCUGAAAGGGAAACGCUUGAAGUCAGUCGCGUUGUCCAGGGAUCAACCUUGCUUUUGCUUGGUGUACUUUCUGGUUAACGGGUCAGCAUCAAUUUUGAUCAUUGGAAAAAGGUUAGGGGAAUGUGGCAUCUUCGGAUGUGUUAUAGCCCUUGAUUGCAUACAAUGGUUGGGAUUGAGGAACUCAGCACGCCGCAAGGCCGGGUUUUAACCACGUACGUGCUUAGGAUGCUGGCAUAAUGGCUUUAAUCGACCCGUCUUGAAACACGGACCAAGGAGUCUAACAUGCCUGCGAGUGUUUGGGUGGAAAACCCGAGCGCGUAAUGAAAGUGAAAGUUGAGAUCCCUGUCGUGGGGAGCAUCGACGCCCGGACCAGACCUUUUGUGACGGUUCCGCGGUAGAGCAUGUAUGUUGGGACCCGAAAGAUGGUGAACUAUGCCUGAAUAGGGUGAAGCCAGAGGAAACUCUGGUGGAGGCUCGUAGCGAUUCUGACGUGCAAAUCCGAUCGUCAAAUUUGGGUAUAGGGGCGAAAGACUAAUCGAAACAUUCUAGUAGGUGGGUCCUGCC
rnacentral:rRNA from 1 species